UCCCCGGUAGCUCAGUCGGUAGAGCGAGUGGCUGUUAACCACUUUGUCGAUGGUUCGAGUCCGUCCCGGGGAGCCA
rnacentral:tRNA from 1 species